rnacentral:misc_RNA from 1 species
UCCGGUUUGUCACCGGCGGUCCCCUUAGAGUUCCCAACUGAAUGCUGGCAACUAAGGGCAAGGGUUGCGCUCGUUGCGGGACUUAACCCAACAUCUCACGACACGAGCUGACGACAGCCGUGCAGCACCUGUGCGCGCUCCCUCGCGGGUCCCUCACCUUUCGGCUCGGUACCACGCUCAUGUCAAGCCUGGGUAAGGUUCUUCGCGUUGCAUCGAAUUAAUCCGCAUGCUCCGCCGCUUGUGCGGGCCCCCGUCAAUUCCUUUGAGUUUUAGCCCUGCGGCCGUACUCCCCAGGCGGGGCACUUAAUGCGUUAGCUACGGCGCGGAAAACGUGGAAUGUCCCCCACACCUAGUGCCCAACGUUUACGGCAUGGACUAC